UGACUUUCCAUAAUUUCCAUGCUGUCAGCACUACUGGCACUAUUCAUGUGUAACAUAUUGAAACAAUGUAGUUAGCUCUCAUGAACUUGAACAAAUGUGCAAAAACAGCAAACACACUUUUCAGGUCUCAAAAACCGCUACUCCUAAUGAUAAAAACAAACACGUUGCAAAGGGAUAAGAAACUCUCAACCUCAUACAAUUUAUAACUGGUAAAAAUUCAGGAUACUGGCUAAAACGCUAGUGAAAACGGAAAUACCGAUCCUGAUGAACAUACACUCAAGUUGGGUUGAUUAGAACGUCAAUCGUAACAACGAAUCCAGCAAAAUCUUUUUGAAAAUAAAACGAUCUUGCUCUUCAAAAUGUUAACAUUCCAAUAACUAGUGU